GCCGGGCGCGGUGGCUCACGCCUGUAAUCCCAGCACUUUGGGAGGCCGAGGCGGGUGGAUCACCUGAGGUCAGGAGUUCGAGACCAGCCUGGCCAACAUGGUGAAACCCUGUCUCUA
ensembl:misc_RNA Metazoa_SRP Metazoan signal recognition particle RNA